CGUCAAUCCGAUUAGCCUUAC
rnacentral:siRNA from 1 species